UGUUUGCACUUAGCGGGAAGGGUAAGAACCUUCGACUAAGGUUCGACUCGAGCGCCAGCGAGAGAACGUUGCCACAGGCAACGGCCCGAAGGGCGC
rnacentral:sRNA from 1 species